GCUUAAUCUACAUGUAAGAAUGCUUUUACUGUAAAUCCACAUGGACCAAGGAGGAGAUUCACUCAUGUGAUGUGUCUGAAUUUUCAGAAUUAUUCCAAUAUAGCUAAUAUUAGAUGGUCAACUUAGAUGUCAAAGUUAGCUGCUGACAAGAAAUAAUGCUAGAUCUUUUAGAGCUGUGUUGCUUUCCUCUUUUACUUACAGGUACAACUGGGGCUCUUGAUUUCAGUCCAUAGAAACCCCUGUUCCUGUGUUAGGUCAAGUUGUGCUCUUAAACAGCUGCAGUCCGAUUAUGAGCAACAAGGGCUCACAGCAGCUCAGCCAGCAGGCAGGUUAAUGCCAAUCAGCACAGACUGGAAGGAGCAAUUUUGCUAGGAGGUCACAGCUGACAGGAAGGAUGAAGAAUUGUGGCCAGAAUAAAAGAUGUCUCCCAUGAUGCUCA
rnacentral:lncRNA from 1 species